GAAGAGCUUCUACAACAGCACCAGGAAGUACAGAAAUCUCUACAGAUCAAAAUUGGUAUUCUAGAGCAGGAGAAGGAAAAUGUUCAGGGUGUAACAAGCCAGGUGAAGGAGCUGGAAAGAAAGAAGAAGUCUGCAGAUGCGUAUCUUGUGGAGAUCACAAAGAAACUGGGUUCUUUUUUGGCUGAAAACUUUCCCCUUCCAUCACCUGAUAACUUGAAAGGAAGCAAGGUAAAUGUCAUUUGAUGUGUAGUGGAGGGCACAUAGCUAACAUACACAUCCACAAGUUAAGGUGGCAUUGAUUAGAGGAGGGUUGUGCCAGUAAUCCCUCAGGGCCCAAUUGUUCAAAGGCUGAUUAGCGCUAACCUUGGGUUAAAUUUUAACCCAGGUUUCCAUAUUUCUCUGUUCAAAAGCUGUUUCAGAAUAAUUUUACUCAUUGUUUUUAGAGCAUUCAAUUAUCAAAUUGUAGU